rnacentral:rRNA from 1 species
GAUGAUUUUAGUGCUUGCACUAAAUGAAACUAGAUACAAGCGAGCGGCGGACGGGUGAGUAACACGUGGGUAACCUGCCCAAGAGACUGGGAUAACACCUGGAAACAGAUGCUAAUACCGGAUAACAACACUAGACGCAUGUCUAGAGUUUGAAAGAUGGUUCUGCUAUCACUCUUGGAUGGACCUGCGGUGCAUUAGCUAGUUGGUAAGGUAACGGCUUACCAAGGCAAUGAUGCAUAGCCGAGUUGAGAGACUGAUCGGCCACAUUGGGACUGAGACACGGCCCAAACUCCUACGGGAGGCAGCAGUAGGGAAUCUUCCACAAUGGACGAAAGUCUGAUGGAGCAACGCCGCGUGAGUGAAGAAGGGUUUCGGCUCGUAAAGCUCUGUUGGUAGUGAAGAAAGAUAGAGGUAGUAACUGGCCUUUAUUUGACGGUAAUUACUUAGAAAGUCACGGCUAACUACGUGCCAGCAGCCGCGGUAAUACGUAGGUGGCAAGCGUUGUCCGGAUUUAUUGGGCGUAAAGCGAGUGCAGGCGGUUCAAUAAGUCUGAUGUGAAAGCCUUCGGCUCAACCGGAGAAUUGCAUCAGAAACUGUUGAACUUGAGUGCAGAAGAGGAGAGUGGAACUCCAUGGGUAA